CAAGGACUAGCCCAACCCCAUUACAACUCAACUCACACGACCCCCUAAAAUAAAACAUUCACCAACCAUUAAAGUAUAGGCGAUAGAAAUUCUACUCGGCGCUAUAGAGAUCAGUACCGCAAGGGAAAGAUGAAAGACUCCCCAAAAGUAAAAAACAGCAAAGCUUACCCCUUCUACCUUUCGCAUAAUGACUUAACUAGAACUAGCUGGCAAAGAGAACUUUAGUCAGCCCCCCCGAAACCAGACGAGCUACCCACGAACAGCCUAACAGGGCGACCUCCUCUAUGUGGCAAAAUAGUGAGAAGAUUCCUGGGUAGAGGUGAAUAGCCUACCGAGCCUGGUGAUAGCUGGUUGUCCAGAACAGAAUCUCAGUUCGAACUUAUGCCCUACCUAAAAACCCCCCCCAAUUCUAAUGUAGGCUUAAGAAGUAGUCUAAAAAGGUACAGCCUUUUAGACCCAGGGUACAACCUUAAUUAGCGAGUAAGCACGGCGUAAAUCCAUAGUAGGCCUAAAAGCAGCCAUCAAUUGAGAAAGCGUUAAAGCUCAACAACUAACCACCUUUUAAUCCCAAAAUAACAACGGCCAACUCCUAACAUCAAACUGGACUAUUCUAUUACGCAAUAGAAGCAAUAAUGUUAAUAUGAGUAACAAGAAAUAUUUCUCCCGGCGCAAGUUUAUAUCAGCAACGGAUGACCCACUGAUAGUUAACAACACGGCAAUUGCAGCCCACCCGUAAACCUGCCUGCCAACCACACUGUUAACCCAACACAGGUGCGCCUCAGGGAAAGAUUAACAGAAGUAAAAGGAACUCGGCAAACACAAACCCCGCCUGUUUACCAAAAACAUCACCUCUAGCCUAUCAAGUAUUAGAGGCACUGCCUGCCCGGUGACAUCCGUUUCAACGGCCGCGGUAUCCUGACCGUGCAAAGGUAGCAUAAUCACUUGUUCCUUAAAUAGGGACUGGUAUGAAUGGCCACACGAGGGUUUUACUGUCUCUUACUUCCAAUCAGUGAAAUUGACCUUCCCGUGAAGAGGCGGGAAUAAACCAAUAAGACGAGAAGACCCUAUGGAGCUUUUAAUUAGCCGUCCUAACAGAGCCCCUCACACUCGAAAGAACCAACAAGCUCUCAAUAGGACCCUAAUUUAGGUUGGGGUGACCUCGGACUACAGACCAACUUCCGAGCAGAACAAGGCCUAGACCCACCAGUCCAAGCCAAACCACUAUCUAUUGAUCCAAAACUUGAUCAACGGAACAAGUUACCCUAGGGAUAACAGCGCAAUCCUGUUUCAGAGUCCAUAUCGACAACAGGGUUUACGACCUCGAUGUUGGAUCAGGACAUCCUAAUGGUGCAGCCGCUAUUAAGGGUUCGUUUGUUCAACGAUAAAAGUCCUACGUGAUCUGAGUUCAGACCGGAGCAAUCCAGGUCGGUUUCUAUCUAUUUCCAAGCUUCCCCCAGUACGAAAGGACAAGGAAAGCGAGGCCCCCAUUGCAAAAGCGCCUCUAACACCAACGGAUGAUCUAAUCUCAACCCGAUACCUGUUAACCACUAUGCCCGAGAGCAGGGCUU
rnacentral:rRNA from 1 species